AACGAACGCUGGCGGCAGGCUUAACACAUGCAAGUCGAACGCAUCGCAAGAUGAGUGGCAGACGGGUGAGUAACGCGUGGGAACAUACCCUUUUCUACGGACUAGCUCUGGGAAACUGGAAUUAAUACCGUAUACGCCUUACGGGGCAAAGAUUUAUCGGGGAAGGAUUGGCCCGCGUUGGAUUAGCUAGUUGGUGGGGUAAAGGCCUACCAAGGCGACGAUCCAUAGCUGGUCUGAGAGGAUGAUCAGCCACAUUGGGACUGAGACACGGCCCAAACUCCUACGGGAGGCAGCAGUGGGGAAUAUUGGACAAUGGGCGCAAGCCUGAUCCAGCCAUGCCGCGUGAGUGAUGAAGGCCUUAGGGUUGUAAAGCUCUUUCACCGAUGAAGAUAAUGACGGUAGUCGGAGAAGAAGCCCCGGCUAACUUCGUGCCAGCAGCCGCAGUAACAC
rnacentral:rRNA from 1 species